CGGACGGGUGAGUAAUGUCUGGGAAACUGCCUGAUGGAGGGGGGUAACUACUGGAAACGGUAGCUAAUACCGCAUAACGUCGCAAGACCAAAGAGGGGGACCUUCGGGCCUCUUGCCAUCGGAUGUGCCCAGAUGGGAUUAGCUAGUAGGUGGGGUAACGGCUCACCUAGGCGACGAUCCCUAGCUGGUCUGAGAGGAUGAUCAGCCACACUGGGACUGAGACACGGCCCAG
rnacentral:rRNA from 1 species